rnacentral:rRNA from 1 species
UUCCCUACGGGGGGCAGCAGUGGGGAAUAUUGGACAAUGGGGGGAACCCUGAUCCAGCGACGCCGCGUGAGUGAAGAAGUAUUUCGGUAUGUAAAGCUCUAUCAGCAGGGAAGAAAAUGACGGUACCUGACUAAGAAGCCCCGGCUAACUACGUGCCAGCAGCCGCGGUAAUACGUAGGGGGCAAGCGUUAUCCGGAUUUAUUGGGUUUAAAGGGUGCGCAGGCGGAGGUGCAAGUCAGCGGUCAAAUUGCGGGGCUCAACCCCGUACUGCCGUUGAAACUGCAUCCCUUGAGUGCGCGAGAAGU